GAAGAAGAGAGGAAGAGGAGAAGGGGAGGCAGUUGUGGCAGUGGCAGUGGCAGGUGCAGCUGGAAGAGAAGUAGAGGAAAUAGAGCAGGGGAGGAAGAAGAGGCUGCGGCUGUGGUGGCUGUGGCCAUGGCUGCGACUACGACUGCGGCAGUUGCAGCUGGGAAAGAAAAGAAAGGAAAGGGGAAAAAGGGGCUGCGGACGGGAUUGCGGCCACAGUGGCAGCGACUGCGUAUGCAGUAGUUAUGUCUGUGAGAGAAGGGAGCAAGGAAGUAGUACAGUGGAAGGGGCUGCGGUUGUGACAGCAGCUGCGGUUGUGACAGCAGCUGCGGUCGUGACUACGACUGUGGUAAUGGCAACGGCGAUGGCUGCGACAACUAUGUUUGAAAAAAAAAAUGAAGGAAUGAGAGUAAGAGAGAGCAGGUGGCUAUGCCUCUAUGUUCUGCAUGAGCUGCAAUUGUGGAGGAAAAAGAAAAGACAUGUAGAAAACGAAACAGAGAGAGAGGACACGGAGGAAAAGUAGAAGGAUUUGGGCUGGCACACUCUUUGGAUCUUUGUAUCGAAAUCUUUGAAAGGCAAGUUUCCUGAUCGUUUCUCCUGUAAUUGUUCUAAUCUUUUCUAUUGCAAGUUUCCCAAUCAUUUCUCCUGUUAUUAUUCUAAUCUUUCAUAUUGCAAGUUUCCUGAUCGUUUCUCUUGUAAUUGUUCUAAUCUUUCCUAUUACAAGUUUCCUAAUCGUUUCUCCUGUAAUUGUUCUAAUCUUUCCUAUUGCAAGUAUCCUGAUCUUUCCUCACUGUAAUUUUAUCUCUACAUUUGCUUUGAAUAUGAG
rnacentral:lncRNA from 1 species